UAGGGAAUCUUCCGCAAUGGGCGAAAGCCUGACGGAGCAACGCCGCGUGAGUGAUGAAGGUCUUCGGAUCGUAAAACUCUGUUAUUAGGGAAGAACAAAUGUGUAAGUAACUAUGCACGUCUUUACGGUACCUAAUCAGAAAGCCACGGCUAACUACGUGCCAGCAGCCGCGGUAAUACGUAGGUGGCAAGCGUUAUCCGGAAUUAUUGGGCGUAAAUCGCGCGUAGGCGGUUUUUUAAGUAUGAAGUGAAAGACCAAGGCUCAACCGUGGAGGGUCAUUGGAAACUGGAAAACUUGAGUGCAGAAGAGGAAAGUGGAAUUCCAUGUGUAGCAGUGAAAUGCGCAGAGAUAUGGAGGAACACCAGUGGAGAAGGCGACUUUCUGGUCUGUAACUGACGCUGAUGUGCGAAAGCGUGGGGAUCAAACAGG
rnacentral:rRNA from 1 species